GACGAACGCUGGCGGCGUGCUUAACACAUGCAAGUCGAACGGAAAGGCCCUGCUUGCAGGGUACUCGAGUGGCGAACGGGUGAGUAACACGUGGGUGAUCUGCCCUGCACUUCGGGAUAAGCCUGGGAAACUGGGUCUAAUACCGGAUAGGAGCCAUUUUUAGUGUGAUGGUUGGAAAGUUUUUUCGGGGUAGGAUGAGCUCGCGGCCUAUCAGCUUGUUGGUGGGGUAAUGGCCUACCAAGGCGGCGACGGGUAGCCGGCCUGAGAGGGUGGACGGCCACAUUGGGACUGAGAGACGGCCGAGACUCCUACGGGAGGCAGCAGUGGGGAAUAUUGCACAAUGGGCGCAAGCCUGAUGCAGCGAGGCCGCGGGGGGGAUGACGGCCUUCGGGUUGUAAACUCCUUUCGCGAGGGACGAAGCUUUUUGUGACGGUACCUAGAUAAGAAGCACCGGCUAACUACGUG
rnacentral:rRNA from 1 species